AACAUGUCUGUGCGAAGGUAUGUAGAGUCUGGCCUGCCCACUGACUUAGUGUGUUUAAAGGGCCGCGGUAUUUUGACCGUGCGAAGGUAGCAUAAUCAUUAGUCUUUUAAUUGAAGGCUUGUAUGAAUGGUUGGACAAAAAGCAAGCUGUCUUCAAUUGUAAAAAUUGAAUUUGACUUUUAAGUGAAAAGGCUUAAAUAAUAUAAAGUGACGAUAAGACCCUAUAAAGCUUUAUAGUGUAACUUUUUAUUAUAAAUUAUUAAAUUGUAUAACUUAAUUUAAAGUAAAACUCUUUCGUUGGGGCGAUGAAAAUAUAAUAAAAUAACUGUUUUUGUUUUAAAUAAUACAGGUAUGUUUGGUUUUAAUGAAUGAUCCUUUAUUAAAGAUUAAAAGAUUAAGUUACUUUAGGGAUAACAGCGUAAUCUUCUUUGAGAGUUCAUAUCGACAAGAAGGGUUGCGACCUCGAUGUUGAAUUAAGGUUCCUGUGUGGUGUAGCAGCUACAGUUGGAGGUCUGUUCGACCUUUAAAUCCUUACAUGAUUUGAGUUCAGACCGGCGUGAGCCAGGUUGGUUUCUAUCUA
rnacentral:rRNA from 1 species